UGCGUAGGCGGGUUUUUAAGUCAGAGGUGAAAGCUUUACGCUUAACGUGAAAAUUGCCUUUGAUACUGAAGAUCUUGAAUUAGGUUGAGGUCAGCGGAAUGUGGCAUGUAGCGGUGAAAUGCAUAGAUAUGCCAUAGAACACCAAUUGCGAAGGCAGCUGGCUAGGCCUUAAUUGACGCUGAGGCACGAAAGCGUGGGGAGCGAACAGGAUUAGAUACCCUGGUAGUCC
rnacentral:rRNA from 1 species